GGCGGCGUGCCUACACUGCAGUCGAACGCUCCGCGUAGCAAUACGUGGGGAGUGGCGGACGGGUGAGUAACACGUAGCUCAUCUACCCUGGGAAGGGGGAUAACAGCUGGAAACGGCUGCUAAUACCCCAUACGAGGGGAGGCGGUAGGGGCCUCUCAGGAAAGCUGAGGCGUCCUGGGAUGAGGCUGCGGCCCAUCAGCUGGUUGGCGAGGUAACGGCUCACCUAGGCGACGACGGGUAGGGGGCCUGAGAGGGUGGUCCCCCACACUGGAACUGAGACACGGUCCAGACUCCUACGGGAGGCAGCAGUGAAGAAUAUUGCUCAAUGGGCGAAAGCCUUACGCAGCAACGCCGCGUGGAGGAAGACGGCCUUCGGAUUGUAAGCUCCUUUUCCGGGGGAAGAUUUGGACGGUACCCC
rnacentral:rRNA from 1 species